ACAAGCUGUUUUCUUUCCUUCUCUGCCUUUUCUGACUGCUACUGGGAGCUCUGCUUAAGAAGGCUGGAGCCAGCUGGUUUUCAUCAGCACUUUCUUCUUGGAGUCCUUGAAGCUGCAGGUCCUAAGCCCAGCAGGCCACAGCGACUGCUGUGGCACCGGGAGGAAGAAGGGGAGGCUGCCAAAUCUGGAAUCUUGGAAGUCGUGCAGGGGUUCUCAGCUUGUGGCGCCGGCUUGGGAGAGUUGCCACAGCCGUGCGGUGUACACCCAGCUACCCCUGCCCCCUCUUCCUUCUGGACGGGCAGCAGGUAUCGGACGAUCUGCAGGUGGAGAGACCCCCCCCAACCCCAGGGGGUUGGGGGGAUAAUUACUCCCAUAUUAUCCUCUAUUACCAGCACGGAAGGGCUUCAGUGUAAUUGGCACAGGCGAUCGCCAUGGCAGACAAUCAGGAAGUCCUCUUUUAAAGCCAUGCAGUCAGAGAUGCUCUUCUGCUGCGUCUCAUGGUCAUCUGAUUGUUCCUGCCAAAAAGCGGCUCUUGUGAGCUCCGCAGUGGGAUGGGCUUUAAGUCCCUGGGUUGGGUGUGACAGCUGGAUGGGCAGC